GAUGAAGAACGUAGCGAAAUGCGAUAAGUAGUGUGAAUUGCAGAAUUCAGUGAAUCAUCGAAUCUUUGAACGCACAUUGCGCCCCUUGGUAUUCCAUGGGGCAUGCCUGUUCGAGCGUCAUUUGUACCUUCAAGCUCUGCUUGGUGUUGGGUGUUUGUCCUUCCUCUAGUGGCGGGACUCGCCUUAAAGUAAUUGGCAGCCAGUGUUUUGGUUUUGAAGCGCAGCACAAGUCGCGAUUCAAGUCUAUACGCUAGUUUCCACAAGUCUUUUAUCACUUUUGACCUCGGAUCAGGUAGGGAUACCCGCUGAACUUAAGCAUAUCAAUAAGCGGAGGA
rnacentral:misc_RNA from 1 species